CAGGCGGCCUGCGCGGCGCUCCGGUCAGGGGCCGGUCUGCCGCGGAGGCUGAGAAAGGCUUUUCUGUUGUGGGCAUCACUGCUACUUACUUGUCGCCUCCAGGUUGGACCAGAUGCCUUUAGAGGUACCUACCCCCUCGAUCCCUUCGAGGUCCGUAAGCGCAGCCUGCAACACCUGCAUUGCUUUGGAAAACCUGCCACUUUGCACCAGCCUGACUCUAAAUAAUUUUGUUAGCCUCCCCUCAUGGGAGACUUGAACGCAAACCCAAGAUUUGUUCUGGCCAAAGCAGCGGCGGCAUCUUCUGGAAGCUUCCUUCCCUGCAGCCCGAGCUCCCCGCUGCCUGCACGUGGCUCCACCGAGUCUUCAGCGAGCCGCACCUUCAGUGACGACUUUGCCACUGGUGCGAAGACCCGCGGUGGAUCCUUGUCCUGAGUCGCAGAGUUCCCAGCUCACCAUUGCCAAGAUAUAUUAUCAACAGUUGCCUUGCUUCGCCUGCCCCAAAUUUGAUGAUGUAACAGAUGGUUCCCCAGCCAAGGCCGUAUUUUUUAAUGAAGAAAACAUGUCUCGAUUUCUCCAGAACAAGACAGAAUAAGGAAUAGGAAACAGCGAACGAAUGACUGAGGAUGUGGCCCAACGUCUUGUUUCCAUCCAUGCGACACGGUCUCAUCCCUGGGGAUGAGAGGGCACAGUUCCACUCCUCCUAGCACUCUUUCUUUAAAAAUAUUUUAUUGGGGCGCCUGGGUGGGUUUCUCGUUAGGUGUCCAACUCUUG